rnacentral:rRNA from 1 species
GGGAGGCAGCAGUGGGGAAUAUUGCACAAUGGGGGAAACCCUGAUGCAGCCAUGCCGCGUGUGUGAAGAAGGCCUUCGGGUUGUAAAGCACUUUCAGUAGGGAGGAAGGUAGUGUAGUUAACACCUGCACUAUUUGACGUUACCUACAGAAGAAGCACCGGCUAACUCCGUGCCAGCAGCCGCGGUAAUACGGAGGGUGCGAGCGUUAAUCGGAAUUACUGGGCGUAAAGCGCAUGCAGGCGGCCUGUUAAGUCAGAUGUGAAAGCCCGGGGCUCAACCUCGGAAUUGCAUUUGAAACUGGCAGACUAGAGUACUGUAGAGGGGGUAGAAUUUCAGGUGUAGCGGUGAAAUGCGUAGAGAUCUGAAGGAAUACCGGUGGCGAAGGCGGCCCCCUGGACAGAUACUGACACUCAGAUGCGAAAGCGUGGGGAGCAAACAGGAUUAGAUACCCUGGUAG